rnacentral:rRNA from 3 species
CCUGGCGGCGAUAGCGCGGUGGUCCCACCUGACCCCAUGCCGAACUCAGAAGUGAAACGCCGUAGCGCCGAUGGUAGUGUGGGGUCUCCCCAUGUGAGAGUAGG